rnacentral:rRNA from 1 species
ACGCUCGACACCUACGGGAGGCAGCAGUGGGGAAUAUUGCACAAUGGGGGAAACCCUGAUGCAGCGACGCCGCGUGAGCGAAGAAGUAUUUCGGUAUGUAAAGCUCUAUCAGCAGGGAAGAAACUGACGGUACCUGACUAAGAAGCACCGGCUAAAUACGUGUCAGCAGCCGCGGUAAUCUGAGGCGGGCUGGCAAGGC